GUGAAUGCCUUCGGGCUUAAACUAUUCCAAACCUCUGUGAACUGUGCCCUUCGGGGUAUCUUACAAACAUUGUGUAAUGAACGUCUAUAUCAUAACAAAACA
rnacentral:misc_RNA from 1 species